GCGUUCAUAGCUCAGUUGGUUAGAGCACCGCCUUGACAUGGUGGGGGUCGUUGGUUCGAGUCCAAUUGAACGCACCA
rnacentral:tRNA from 3 species